AUCACAUCACUCCCCUCCUCCCAAACUUCAUUCCUCAUCUCCUCCUCCCAAACCCUAGAGCGGCGGCAACUGAUGGAGAGAUUGUUCUUCAACGAUUCUGAUUUUUCUUGAGCAAUCAAUUAUCAGCAUCGAAGGUUAUGUAAAGGAUGGAGAUUGUUCGAGAAAGAUUUGGAAAUCGACAGAUAAACUUAGAUCUAGUUUUUCUGUUAGAGAUAAAGUUUGUUUUAUUAGAUUAGUUUUAUUUGAAUUAUCUUACUAUGCAAAGGUUUGAUUUCUAUUUAUCUCGAUUUUAUUAAUUGAUUUUUGGAGAUGAAAGUGUUUGCGUGUUUAAUCGAGGGUUAUAAGUUUCUGAUGCAGUGAUUCUGAUUCAACGAUGUUUGCUUGCAUAGCAUUUCAUGUCCGAAAUUCAAUCGACGGAGAUUCAUUUUAACCGAUAAGAGUGAUUGAACAAGAAACCCUAAUUGCUGGAAACCGUCCUUCUAGUAUCACCUGAGUGAGUGACAGGGCCUGGGGGGAGAAGUGUUCAAAAUAUCUGGAUAUUCUUGUGUUUCUAAUCUACAAAGAAUAAACAAUGGUCAAGAGCGCUUAACUUUGAGGUUUCGUGCUAGGGGAAGUCAUCACUCCGGCAGUUGUUGCAUUUGUGGCAUCAAUGCAGUGAUGUGAGAGGCAACAAUAUAACUGGUACAAUCCCUGAAAACAUCAGAAAAUGUACAAGUUUCGAGAUCUUGUUUGGUUCAUAUUUCUGUUAGCCUGUCAUUGCUAGUUUAGGAGAAUAUGGGGUUUGCCUUGAAGUUCAGUGAGCUUGUUAAAUACAUCCAUGGGUAUUCAACAAUGUUGCUGAAAUUAUGGAUGAUGGUUCCGCACAUGUAUCAACUCAUUUCCUCUAGGUGCUGAGUCGUAUUGUUGGAGCAGGUGAGGUGAAGUGCUGCAGAUUUGCAAUAGAAACAUUAUGCAAGAGAAUGCAGAGACUGUUAUGCGGUGCUACAGAUUUUCAAUAGAACCAUUACGCAAGAGAAGGAAGAGACUGUUAUGUGAGUUCCGCAUUUGUUAGUUUUAUCUUAUAUGCUCUUAAGUUAUAAACAAAUGUUGUAUGAGCUUUGGGCCGCACAUAACUUAGGCAUUCUCUUAUAUAAGUUUCUAAGCAGAUGUUGCAUUCCCUCAAAACUUAAGAAUUCUCUCAAGUUGUUGAAAGAAUAGAACAAGUUAUUAUUAUUAUAAAAUGUAUAAUAGAAUUUGUAUGGAUUGAAUGGCAGACUUGUGCAGCUAAUUGAAUUUAGA